rnacentral:lncRNA from 1 species
GUGGAGGAAGGCACACAGGAAGUGAUGCAAAAGGAAGUGUCUUUAAAAGGGAAUUACAACUUCCUGUGAGGACUUCUGGGAGUUCUCAAGUUCUUUGUGCUUGGGACUUCUGCCUGCUCUCAUUCUUCAGAGUUUGAGUUGGAGGUUGGUGAAGAAUCUGCUGACUGGACUUGAGACUCUGUACCUGGUGAUACUGUUCUUAAAUCUCUCCGUUUGGAAUGACAUGUGGUUUGGUGUUUCUUUUACUCUCUUACCUUUCUUGGCUGGGAAGUAAGAAGGAGCCAAUGAGAACGGAUAUAUAUUCUUGGGAAGAAGAAUAUUCCAGGGUCUUUCCUGCAGCACAUGAAGUGAAGUUGAACUCUUCCAAUCUCUCUCUCAAACCUGAAUAUGAACGAAAAAGCUGAAAUGCCUCAAUAAGACUUGAAGACUUGAAUAAGACUUAAGGAGGACUCUCUUUAAAAAGUCCCAGAAGGGAUUAGUGAAGUUGGGAGCUCUCUUGCCUCUUGCCACCUCCAUCUGUGCCUGCCAUAGCCUUCAGCUUCAUCAGUAAGGAGAGGCUUUGGGACAGAAGUUUCAUGUGUAUAGUUGGGCAAAACCAAUUCCCACAUUGUCCAUGUUGAAGAGUUCGCAUCUCAUUUUGAAUCUUAUUUCUAUUACUUCUCCAUCAGGAGGUGGGUAUCAUAGACAUUCUUAAACUUUCCCCAUACUUCAGAGCUGCCUCUUCAUCUUCAGUAUAGCUCAGAGGAGAGGAUUUGCCUUUUAUUUUUAGAGCCUUAAUUCUAGCAAACCCUUGACAGCGAAAUAUUUAAUGAUCAGUGUAAAAAAGACCUGCCAGAACUGAAAAGUAACCCAAAGUGAAAUAAUGGAAAUUGGUAGUGUACAUAAAUAGCUGGGCCAGCUUUCCUCUUGUUUGAAAUCCUAUUUUAUUUGCUAGCAAUUUUCUUCUGCCUCACACUCUCUCAUUAUAUAUCCUUUCAUUCAAAAUGUUAGUUCUCAAUCUUCUUGUAAUACAAGAACCAUCCACUAAUCAUUUCUAGGACGGAAACACAUAUUCCUAAGUGGAGUCCUUUUGUGGAGAUGAAUUAAACAGACACUGGAUUUGUUUCUCAGAUUUCUUGUCUGAUGGUUCAUGGAAUUGCCAACGAAGGAAUUUUUUUAUGCCUUAAAAAUUACCCAAGACAAAUGCUUGACAAAUGCAGCUUUUCCAUGUGAAUGAAACUUUUUUGGUCAUGCACAAGUUUAAAUUCUAGAAAACAAAAGAGAAAAGCGUGAACUAAAUAUCUCUUAUAUAGAUUCUCUUCUGGUCUGUUCAUAUCGCUAAUACCCUAAUUCAGACCAUUACUUCUUGCUUGGUUUAUUGUAGAAG